rnacentral:rRNA from 1 species
AACGAACGCUGGCGGCGCGCCUAAUACAUGCAAGUCGAGCGAGAAGGUGUAGCAAUACACUUGUAAAGCGGCGAACGGGUGAGGAAUGCAUGGGUAACCUACCCUCGAGUGGGGAAUAACUAGCCGAAAGGUUAGCUAAUACCGCAUACGUUUCCGGAACUUCGGUUUCGGAAAGAAAGCAAUACCGUGGGUAUUGCGCUCCUGGAUGGGCUCAUGUCCUAUCAGCUUGUUGGUGAGGUAACGGCUCACCAAGGCUUCGACGGGUAGCUGGUCUGAGAGGACGAUCAGCCACACUGGCACUGCGACACGGGCCAGACUCCUACGGGAGCAGCAGUAAGGAAUAUUGCGCAAUGGACGAAAGUCUGACGCAGCGACGCCGCGUGGGGGGAUGAAGGUCUUCGGAUUGUAAACCCCCUUUCGGGAGGGAAGAUGGAGUGGGUAACCACUUGGACGGUACCUCCAGAAGCAGCCACAGCUAACUUCGUGCCAGCAGCCGCGGU